ensembl:lncRNA
AUGGCGGAAGGAGCUGCCUCCUCCUCCUCCUCCUCCACAGCCAGUGGGUCCAGUGGAGCAGCUCCACCACAGACGAUCCCCGUCAAGUCCAAAGGUCUGGGCCUCCUCGGGAAGCUGAAAGUGUCCGCGGAGCUGCUGGUGGCUCUGGCUGCUCUCCUGUCCUGGGUGGUGGUCGGAGUAGUGAUGUUUGACUUUGUGGAGUACAAGGCGGUCCCUGACAUUCAGCAAAUCGUUUCGGACCCCAUUGGAGCUGUAAACGACGCCGUCGAGGAAGCAUCAAGUCUACUCAAUAAGUUUCAGGAAUGUGCACCCGAUUUAAGUGACCCCACGUCCGCUGCCACCUACGUAGCUAAAGAAAUAUCUGAUGCAAAAGAUGGAUUUGUUCGCUAUUUUUCCGAUGAGGAAGGGAACUUCUACCUCAGCUAUGUUGACCCUGUGAUCAUCGGUAGACAAGCUUUCCAUUCGACCAAUGACUUAAUGCGUGGAGUCGUGGCCACCUUCAAGGACACAUUGUGCGCCAUUGUAGACUCCGCAUUAAAUACUAUAUCGGAUGUAAAUAAAGGAACCUCAGGAACCGUGGAUACUCCCUCCGUGGACCCUGUUGUAGUUGGCAGAAAUGUCUUCAGUCUUACAAAUGACACCGUGAGUAGACUAGUGGGCUACAUCCAGGACGUACUCUGUGCCAUCGUAGACAGUGUGCUGGAUUUAACUAAAGGAACCACCGACACAAGCUUCAUGGACCCUGUGGUUGUUGGUAGAAAUGUCUUCAGUGUUACUAAUGACUUUCUGAGUGGAAUAGCCGGAUACAUCCAGGAUGUGCUCUCUGCCGCCUUGGACGUGAUACUGGACACAGUAAAAUAUCUGCAGCAUGCUGUGGGAUUCAGCCCGACGUCAGCUCUAAAGAGAACAGCAGAAAUCAGCACAGAGCAGAUGAACACGCUUGUGAGCUACGUCUCCACGCUGAUUGGUCAACAAGACAUCAUGCCAGAAGUUUCCAUUGACCCCAUGAAAGUGGUUGAAGAUGCUCUGUUGGAGGCCUCGGACAAGAAAGAUUUGUUCGUGGCUUACAUGUCGAGCAUGCUUGUUGCUGAUCGAGGAGAACCUGUUGUAAAUGUAGUAUCUGAAAAAGAUGAAGCUGUAGCUCUCCCAUCUAAUUUGAAUAUGUUACGAAGAAAAGGAGAAUUUCUUCCGUCUUUGGGAAAAGUUACAGAGAUCAUGCAAGCUGCCAAAGAUGCUGCUGCUGCUUCUGCUGCUGAAGCCCCAGACUCAAAGAUCAAGGAGGAGGAUGGAGACGUUUCCACUGAAGCUGCCUACGAAGUGGACGUGGAGGAGGAGGAGGAUGUGAAACAUAUCAACCUUGAAGAAACAGAACAUGAACCACCAGCCAUCAAUGAAGGAGACAAGGUCGACAGAGAGGAGGAGGAACAUGAGGAGAUUCAAACAGAGGAGGAUGCGAUUUAUGAGGCGGAAGAAACAGAGGAUGCUGAAGGAGAAGAAGGUGGAGAUAUUAUUAAAACAGCCACUGAAGAAGAACAAGUAGAUGAACCAAGUGAGAAGCAGGAAGAGGAGAUCAAAGUUGAAGAUGUUUUGGCGAAAGAGGAGAAGGAAACACAUACAGAAGAGGAUGCAUUAAAAAAAAGAUUUGGUAGUGGAAGUGGAGGAGGAGACCAUAUCUGAAGACAUUUUGGUAAAAGAGAGGGAGGAGGACGAAGAGGAGGAGGAGGAGAAAAAAAACUGACGAUGUUUUCGUAGACGAUGGUGAGGAAGAAGACGACAGAAAAACUGAAGUGGAAGUUGAGGAGGUGGAGGAUACUAACAUUGAAGAAUACACCAUAGAAGAUGAUGAGGAGACAAAAACAGGACUUCUGGUAGAGGAGGAGGAGGAAGUGGUGGUGUUGGUGGUGCAGGAGGUCGAGGAUGAGGAGGACGGGGAGGUACAAAAUGAAGAGAUUUUAGUAGAAGAUGGUGAGGAAGAAGAGGAGAGUAAAACUGAAGUGGAAGUGGAGGAGACUAUAAUGGAGGAACAUGCAGGAGAGGAUGAAACAAAUAUAGAACUUGUGGCAGAAUUAGAGGAGGAGGAGGAGGAGGAGGAGGAGGAGGACGUGUUGAUAGGAGAUGGUGAGGAAGAGAAGGAGACAAAAACAGAAGAUGCAGUUGAAUAUUUGGAAGACAAUAAAGAGGAGGAGGAGGAAGACGGCGAGGACGAAGAGACAACAGAACUUGUAAUUGAAAACGAGGAGGAGACCGAAUCUGAAGAAGAUUUGGCAGAGGCUGGGAUAGAUGAUGAGAAAAAAACAGUAGAAGUUCAAGUAAAAUCAUUGGAAGAUUUUGAUGAGGAGGAGAACGAAGAUGAAGAUCUUCGUGUUGAUGAAGGAAGCGACAAAGAAAUAAAUGAAAUUACUGAUAUCAACGAUCAGCUUUCUAAAACUAACCAGGAACUAGGAGCUUUAGAUGCUGAAGAUAAAAAGAAUUUAGAGGAGGAGGAAGCAGAAGAACCGUUCAGAGUGGAGACGACGGAAGUGGACAAAGGAGAUGAAGAAGAAGAGCCAUCUGCCCAACGUCUUGAUUUUGAAAUUAUAUCAUCUAAAACACCAAAUAAUGCAGGUGUCAUACCCGCAUCCAACAACGUUAUAGAAGAGGAAACAACAGUCAAUGAAUACUCUGACAUCAUCAACGAACGUGAUGAAAACAAUGACGAGAUUGAAAGCGUGAAAUCUGAAUCUGAACAAAAAAGGGAGGUUCAUGUUCCCUUUGAGAGACUGAGAAGAGUCGGCUCCAGAGCUGCUCACAAAGAGGAACACCUUCACAAACGUGGGAAAGGUACAGCGCUUUUAUCACUCAUCAUCUCAUCUAUUUCAUCCUUUUUUUCAUUAUCAAGCAAUGCGAAUGUUUCUGGAACGUGAGUGUGGGUAUUUAUUUUUCUUUAUUGUCUUUGCAAUGUGACAAAAGUUAUAAGGGACCAAUAAGAUGUUUGUUGAAUGUAAUAAUUGUAAUACUUGCAUGUGAGUGAGAGAUUAAUUCUUUUUAGAAAAUAUUCUAGAUGAACAAAGUACAACCUGUUAAUGUAAUGCGGCAUACUUAUAAUGGGGCCAAAAUGUAGACAAGAAUAGGCUAUAAAAUAGUUGUUGAAGUAUCCAUAGUUGAGUUUAAAAACCCGCUCAGACACAUCUUAACAUCUGUGUUGCCCAAGAGCAAAAAUCAACUCAUAUCCUUACAUUGUCUGUACUAGCAAAGCCUCUAAAUUUAGCUUUGUGUUUAAUCUGCACAUUUAGGCGGUAGGACCCGGAUGGCUCUGUGAUCAUGAUAAGCUCCACUUUCAUGAGGGAAACAAGGUUGCCGUUGCCACUUAUACCUCUAUGCAUGGCUUCUAGUCCCAUUCUAGAAAAUGUUGAUUUCUCUGCAAAUCUUUGUACUUUGUACAUUCCAUCCUUCUUCUCCUCAUCUGACUACACGAAAGAGGAGCAUAUUUCACAAUAAGAUGGUGUGUUUAAAUAUACUCAUCGUGACAGGUGUGAAUAGCGGCACCAAAAGAGAAUCUUAAGCUGGGAUCUUGUUUUUUUUCGUGACUCAGAAAAGGCCCAUCUAUUUUCAAAGGUGCUAACAGGGUUCCUGCUUUAGACCAAACAGCCGUUGCAUUAGGCAGAGCGCCAGCAGUGCAAACGGCAGCUAGAUGGAGCUAACAGGCUGAGGAAGGGAUUCUGGAUCAGGACAGUAAAUAGCAUUUGUAUGUAUUAGAUGAUAUAGAGUUAUAUAUCAAUAAUAUAUUACUGAAUAACUAACUAUUGUGACUUACUGUCACUGACUAAUCUCUUCACUCCAGCUAUCAAAUGUAGGCUUUAACGUUAUGAUGCCUUAUUGCGGUGUGUUUUUCAUCAGUGCUUUUAGCCUUAUAGUGCUGAUAUGAAAGCAAGUUCACCUGUCAUGUCACUACGAAUACGCCUGGGCUGAGAAUAUGCAGAGUGAUUUCUGGUCAGAAUACGCUGUCAAUUGUUCUGUUUACUUUUAUAUAU